AACGAACGCUGGCGGCAGGCCUAACACAUGCAAGUCGAACGGGAUCUUCGGAUCUAGUGGCGGACGGGUGAGUAACGCGUGGGAACGUGCCCUUUGGUUCGGAAUAGCCUCGGGAAACUGGGAGUAAUACCGGAUGAGCCCUUCGGGGGAAAGAUUUAUCGCCAAAGGAUCGGCCCGCGUUGGAUUAGGUAGUUGGUGGGGUAAUGGCCUACCAAGCCGACGAUCCAUAGCUGGUUUGAGAGGAUGAUCAGCCACACUGGGACUGAGACACGGCCCAGACUCCUACGGGAGGCAGCAGUGGGGAAUCUUAGACAAUGGGGGAAACCCUGAUCUAGCCAUGCCGCGUGAGCGAUGAAGGCCUUAGGGUUGUAAAGCUCUUUCGUGGGGGAAGAUAAUGACUGUACCCCAAGAAGAAGCCCCGGCUAACUCCGUGCCAGCCGCCGCCGUAAAAC
rnacentral:rRNA from 1 species